UACGUAGGCAGCAAGCGUUGUUCGGAAUUAUUGGGCGUAAAGAGUGUGUAGGCGGUGUUCCAAGUCUGUCGUGAAAUCUCCCGGCUUAACUGGGAGGGUGCGGCGGAAACUGGAAUGCUAGAGGGUGGAAGAGGUGAGUGGAAUUCCUAGUGUAGAGGUGAAAUUCGUAGAUAUUAGGAAGAACACCAGUGGCGAAGGCGGCUCACUGGUCCGGUACUGACGCUGAGGUGCGAAAGCGUGGGGAGCAAACAGG
rnacentral:rRNA from 1 species